CCUACUUCCGGGUUAUCUCGGUUUUCUGUUGUUUGGGAGCGAACUCCUGCUUGCGCGGCUCCUAGUCUCAUUCUAGAGAAAUCAGUCGGUAAUUCGUGAAAGCGCUUAACCUGCUGAGUGGGUCCAGCUUAAGAGAUGAGUUUUGUGGCCACCGCGUUGGUGGCAAACUCUGCGGUCUCUAUUUGAACAGCAUUAGGUGAUUGACCAUUAAAUGUGGACAAGAAGAAAAAUGUCUUUCAUAAUGACAAAAAAAAUGGUAUUACCUUCAUUGUUGAAAACAGUACCAUCUUCUCUCAAGAGAACAGCUCUGGAGUUCAACUGCUUGGGUUCAGAAAUGGUUCCACCUCUUAUUGUGUAACUUUGGGCAAGGUACCUAAUCUCUAUGUCUUUAUUUGUUAAAUAAUGAUAAUACAUACUGUCAUAGAGUUUUGUCUAGGGUUAAGUGGAAUAAAAAUACUUAGAAUACUGUAUGGCAUACAGUACUAUUUAAACUUAGCUAUUAUUAUUGCUAGUGUGGCUGUUCACUAGACUUUAGUCUUUUAUUUAAUAACAAAGAGUAGAAAGCCAUAACCAAAAAACUAAUUAAAGGCAAAAGGCAAAUAAAUCAUUUUACUAAGACUCUCUUAUGCACUCUUUUUUUUUUUUUUUGGUACCAGGGAUUGAACUCAGGACCUUGCACCUGCCAGGCAGGUGCGGUAUCACUGAGCUAAAUCCCUAGCCCUCUUCUGCACUCUUGAAAUGACUUAUUUCUAACUUUUCCCAACAUUUAAUGCAUCAGUAAGUACAUUCAACUUAUAAAAUUUGAUGGACACAGUCCAGGUCAUAACAAGGGGUUAUUAAAAAUUAAAGUACUGCGGUAAAGAGUAAUAGAGGUCACAGACCUACCCGGACACAACUACUACACUAGAAUUUAGAUGAAGUUAUUCUAAUUGGCACAUCAUAUUUUCAUUUUCUUCAUAAAAUGUGUAAAAGUGAUCCAAAAGUUCUUUUUGUAUUUCUUUUUAAUAUUUAAAAACUAUAUCAUAGUACUACUUAUGCCAUUCUGAUGAUACAUUAAUAUACACAAUGCCUAUUUAUAGUCGUAUCUCAAACACAACUACAUUUGCAUGCUUAAAUGUUAUAAUCUGUUGUCUGGAUUCUUAAAGCAUGACAAAAAGUCUACCUUAAUCUUUAGAUAGUACACCACGAUAAUUUAUUUCUGGAUCUUAGGAAGGUAUUUUGGUUUAGAUCCAAAAUUCCUUUAAAAGACUCAUGUUCAGAGGUGGGGAAUGGUUGGAAGUAGUGGAUUAGUGUGGGUGUGACUUAGAAUGAGUGUAUUCUCUUACCUGGCUUCUCCCUUCGUUCUCUACUUCCUGGCUGUCAUGCAGUGAACAGCUUUUUUCAGCCAUGCCAUUCUGUUGUGCUGUUUCUGCCUUGUAGCCAGUUGACUAUAGACUAAGUCCAGUGAAACUGAGUCAAAAUAAGCCUCUCCUUUUAUGUGUGCUGGGUAUUUUGUCCCAGUGACAGGAAAGUGACUAACACAGAAAAUUGAUACCAGGAGUGGGAUUGUUGCUAUGACUCUACCUGAUCAUAUAUCUUAGAAGCCUUUGGAAAUGGUUUGUGGGAUGAAUUUGGAAUGGUUUGGAGAUGUUGGGUAGAGAAGCUAUGGAAUGCUGUAAGCAGACUAAGCGUAAAUUGGUGGGAGAUUCUUUUCAGAAUGCAGAAGACCACAAUGCUGAUAGAAAAGAAGAUAGUAAAGACCAGGCUCAGGAGGUUUCAGUUGGGAACAAGAACUCCACUGGCAGUUGGACUAGAAGCCAUGUGUAUUUUGCUUUGACAGAAAAUUUAUCUACAUUUUGUCUCUGUCCUGAAACUUUUCGGGAGAUGAGGAUUAAGGACAGCAUAAUAAUCUAGUUGAAAAUUAAUAAUCUGGUUGAAAGGAUUUCAGGGCAGUCCAGUGUUCAGGCUGUAGAUGGGUACAGCUGACUACUUUUAGCCAGAUCUAUAGUAUGAAUGAAGAGCAAACAACAGAGCUGAAUGAUUUAAAAAGUUUGCAAUUUUUCCAGAAAAAAAGUGCUUCCAAAGUUGUUUCCAAGGAGACUAUGGUUGCUGAAAGAUUAUCAUUAAAAAGAAGC
ensembl:lncRNA